rnacentral:tRNA from 1 species
GCCCGGGUGGCGGAAUCGGUAUACGCAGCGGACUUAAAAUCCGCCGUUCCUCAGGGAGCAUGUGGGUUCAACUCCCACCCCGGGCA